AACGCGAAGAACCUUACCUGGUCUUGACAUCCACGGAAGUUUUCAGAGAUGAGAAUGUGCCUUCGGGAACCGUGAGACAGGUGCUGCAUGGCUGUCGUCAGCUCGUGUUGUGAAAUGUUGGGUUAAGUCCCGCAACGAGCGCAACCCUUAUCCUUUGUUGUCAGCGGUCCGGCCGGGAGCUCAAAGGAGACUGCCAGUGAUAAACUGGAGGAAGGUGGGGAUGACGUCAAGUCAUCAUGGCCCUUACGACCAGUGCUACACACGUGCUACAAUGGCGCAUACAAAGAGAAGCGACCUCGCGAGAGCAAGCGGACCUCAUAAAGUGCGUCGUAGUCCGGAUUGGAGUCUGCAACUCGACUCCAUGAAGUCGGAAUCGCUAGUAAUCGUGGAUCAGAAUGCCACGGUGAAUACGUUCCCGGGUCUUGUACACACGC
rnacentral:rRNA from 1 species